rfam:Schistosoma curassoni strain Dakar, Senegal genome assembly, scaffold: SCTD_contig0001009
AUCCAGCUGACGAGUUUAAAAAAGGACGAAACGCGCGUCCUGGAU